GCUUCGUUGAUUAUUUUUUGCAGUCUAUUAGGGAAUCUAAAUGCUAUAUCAUCUAAAAAGGAAAACCCAUUCCUGUUAAAAGGGCUUUAUGUUUUUCAACACAAGUGAGAACCGAAUAUGGGUAAUUAGUAACCUAUAUCACUCAUACUUUUUUUUAAACCUUAUGUUUGACUGAUUGCAUGGUCAAAGAACAUCUAAGGGACUGAGUUGUCAUUAUAUUUUAGAUCUUUGCUGCCAAUAGUUUACAUAUUCUGUGUUUGUUUUGAUCUGCUUCUCAUAACGGUAUUCUUGCCUGUAAAGUGUAAACUAAUCUGUGUGUUUUUUGUCUUGAUAUGGCGGUGAUGGUAAACACUUUCAGCAAACAUGCCAGUUCUGCUUCUGAGAAUUCAUGACUGAAAAAUCUGUUAUAUUGAUCUGAGCCACUGCAAUUGAUAAAAGCUGUGUGCCUGUGUCAUCCCAGUGCACAGGUACUUGGCCGAUUAGAAUCAUGGGAACAGAUGGUCUUAGAACUUGGCAGUUGUGCUGCUCCCAGGUACUAUCCAUGCAAGCACCUUUUUAUUGUCAUAGGUUCAUAGCCUGAGAGGAUAGUUGGCUAGUUUGGAUCUGUAGAAUAAGUGGAGGAAUUCCGGAUGUCUCCUUAUUUUUGAAAUAAAGUUUCUAACUUAUACUGAGCUAAUACUCACAUUCUGUAUUUUCCUGACUCUGAGAUAUUUGGAGUAGUUGAAGCUGGUUCGUUGGUUAAGUUGAAGUAGAACUAGCCAUUGCAUAAUGA